AAUUCCGCAGUGUUCCUCUUUCCCGGCAGUAGGUACGCACCGAAUAAACCCUAAUCGCGCUUGUCGCGACAUCACGACCGAAGCCCUAGCUCAGAUUUUCUUUCAGAUUUAUCUCCGAAACUCCAGUUUUACUAACGAUAUAGUUUUCAUCUGCUCUUCUAAAAUUCUUUAUUUAAUCUUCAUUCAUCUCGUCAAUGGCGGACGCUCGGAACGGCGAUCGGUGUGAGGAGACUGACUACACCUCGGAGGACGAAGGGACUGAGGAUUAUAGGCGAGGAGGGUAUCAUGCGGUUCGUGUUGGGGAUUCCUUUAAGAAUGGAUGCUAUGUUGUUCAAAGCAAGCUCGGAUGGGGUCACUUCUCCACUGUUUGGUUAGCUUGGGACACUCAGAAAUCGCGUUAUGUAGCUUUGAAAAUUCAAAAGAGUGCUCAGCAUUACACGGAAGCUGCACUGGAUGAGAUUAAGAUUCUCAAGCAGAUAGCAGAAGGAGAUUUAGAAGACAAGAAGUGUGUUGUGAAGCUUUUGGAUCAUUUUAAACAUUCUGGCCCAAAUGGGCAGCAUGUUUGUAUGGUUUUUGAGUACCUCGGUGACAACCUAUUGACUCUUAUUAAAUAUGCGGAUUACAGAGGGAUUCCUCUUCAUAUGGUGAAGGAAAUUUGUUUUCAUAUUUUAGUGGGAUUAGAUUACUUGCACAGUAAACUUUCAAUUAUACAUACUGAUUUGAAACCAGAGAAUGUAUUGCUUCCGUCUAUGAUUGAUCCAUCAAAGGAUCCUAGAAAAUCAGCAAAUCCUCUCAUCCUUCCGAACAAUAAGAAUAGAACUUCGACUAGUUCUGAUGCUUUAAAUGAUGUUAAGAGUUACAGUGGGGAUCUUACCAAGAACCAGAAGAAGAAGAUAAGGAAAAGGGCUAAGAAGGCAGCUCAGGGCCGUUCAGAGAGGGAAACUAUUGAAGAUGUAGAUGCAGAAGACUCUACAAGAGCUGGCCCAGGAGAUAUUGAUAAUGGGGUUAAGUUAAAUGGGGAUUCGACCGAAAUAUGUAAAGAUGGUUCAUUGAACGAAGGUGGGAUAGUAAAUGCUGAUGAUGUAAAGGAUGCUUGCGAAGGGAAGAAAGGUCAUAGGAGAAGGAGCCAAGAAACAAGGAAGAGACUGCUGGCAGCUGCUGAUCUUAAGUGCAAGCUGGUUGAUUUUGGGAAUGCAUGUUGGACAUACAAGCAAUUCACUUAUGAUAUUCAGACUCGGCAGUAUAGGUGUCCUGAGGUUAUUCUUGGAUCUAAAUAUUCGACUCCAGCAGAUAUGUGGUCAUUUGCUUGUAUUUGCUUUGAGUUGGCCACUGGCGAUGUUCUUUUUGAUCCACAUAGCGGCGACAACUAUGAAAGGGAUGAGGAUCAUUUAGCAUUGAUGAUGGAGCUUCUUGGAGUGAUGCCUCGCAAGAUUGCAUUAGGUGGUCGCUAUUCCAGGGACUACUUCAAUAGAUAUGGAGAACUGAGGCAUAUUCGUCAAUUGCGCUUUUGGCCAAUUAACAAGGUCUUGAUUGAGAAGUAUGAUUUCAGCGAGCAAGAUGCUAAUGACAUGGCUGACUUUCUUAUUCCUAUAUUGGAUUUUGCACCUGAAAAGAGACCAACAGCAGCUCACUGUCUUAGCCAUCCGUGGCUGAGUUCUGUCCCAAGAAUUCUUGAAUCUUCUGUAUCAAGCCAUCAAAAUCAGCCCAUAGAUCGGGAUGUUUCUACAAAAAUAAGCGAGAAGGAUGAGAGAGAGGCCAUGGAGAUCGGAAUGGGUAACAUAGCUAUUGAUGGAACAUCAAGAUCGACGUCAUCAAAACCAACAUAAUUAAAGCCUUAACACGUGUGGCAUCUCAGGGCAUAUCUUGUGCAAUAUAAUCCUGGUUUGUUGCUGCUCAGGGCUUCUGCUGGAGUCGGAAGCAUUCAUAAUCCAUCUUGAUUUGCAGUGAUCCUACACACAUUAUGAAGCAAUUGUCUUUUCUUCGAGAGGGUAGACCAGUUUUUUCGUAGGCCCUUUUCGAGCUACUCCAAACAUCAGAAUGUUUUAAGCAUUUGUUGGUUUGACAGAGCCCCUUCGAGCCAUGAUCAUGUUGGCACUUGGCAGUUCGAAAACUUCCUUAGCAAUGGGGGGACUGUUCGGAGCUCUUUAUGAAUAAAUUUGAGGACUAAAUAUUCUAUGAAAAAUAUGUUUUAGUUAAUGUUGCAUAAUUGGUUAUCUAAGUUAAGUUAUUUACUUAGUUUGAAAUCCGCAUGAGGUAGUAUGGUGUAUCUAUAUCAAAUUAAUU